rnacentral:rRNA from 1 species
UCCUACGGGGGGCGGCAGUGGGGAAUUUUGGACAAUGGGCGCAAGCCUGAUCCAGCCAUGCCGCGUGCAGGAUGAAGGCCUUCGGGUUGUAAACUGCUUUUGUACGGAACGAAAAGGUUCUUUCUAAUAAAGAGAGCUCAUGACGGUACCGUAAGAAUAAGCACCGGCUAACUACGUGCCAGCAGCCGCGGUAAUACGUAGGGUGCAAGCGUUAAUCGGAAUUACUGGGCGUAAAGCGUGCGCAGGCGGUUAUGUAAGACAGUUGUGAAAUCCCCGGGCUCAACCUGGGAACUGCAUCUGUGACUGCAUAGCUAGAGUACGGUAGAGGGGGAUGGAAUUCCGCGUGUAGCAGUGAAAUGCGUAGAUAUGCGGAGGAACACCGAUGGCGAAGGCAAUCCCCUGGACCUGUACUGACGCUCAUGCACGAAAGCGUGGGGAGCAAACAGGAUUAGAUACCCUGGUAGUCCACGCCCUAAACGANNNNNNNNAAUUGUUGGGUCUUCACUGACUCAGUAACGAAGCUAACGCGUGAAGUGACCGC